rnacentral:SRP_RNA from 1 species
GCUGGGUGUGGUGGCGCACACCUGUAAUCCCAGCUACUCAGGAGGCUGAGGCAGGAGAAUUGCUUGAGCCUGGGAGGUAGAGGUUGCAGAGAGAUGAGAUCAUGCCACUGCACUUCAGCCUGGCGACAGAGCAAGAAUCUGUCUCAA